ensembl:lncRNA
CAUCCCUGAUCUCUGCCUUGAACUCCUUUCAGGGUGUGUUGAAGGUGGCUUCAAGAACCAGUGAAAAGGGUAUAUGUUUAAGAAUCACUCACUGGCUGAGGAAAAGUCUUGAAGAAAAAGGAGGUGGAGUUUUCCUGCUGUUUUAGUCUUGAAAGUCACUCUACUUCCAGUUUCCUGCUGGGGAUGAGGAUUGGAGGCAUGAGGCAAUGACUGAUUUUCCAGCUCCCCCUGGGAGCCUGCUGGAGGAGCUUCCCAGGAAUGGGGCAGAGGAAGAGUUUCCACCUAACGCCGAGGUGGCCUCAAGAGUAAGUGAAAAUGGUAUGUAUUCUGGAAUCACUCACUUGGCUUGGGAGAAAAUGCAGAAAGAAAGGUAAACCUUGUUGUCUGGCUUUCUCCCUGGCCUCACUCAGUGGGUUAAGGAUCUGGCAUUGCUCUGAGCUGUGGUGUAGGUCACAAACACCGUUCGGAUCUAGCAUUGCUGUGGCUGUGGCAUAGGUCAGCAGCUGUAGUUCUGAUUAGACCCCUAGGCUGGGAACCUCCAUAUGCUGUGAGUGCAGCCCUAAAAAGACAAAAAGACAAAAUAAUAAUAAUAAAAUAAAAUGUAAGGAACAGUAUAAUUUACGAAUGUGUGCAGUUCAUUGUAAGGAACCUUUGUCUUAAUAAACUUGGGGAAAAUCCCAUCGCCAACUAGGAAAAUGUUCACAGGGUUCCAGUGGACAAAAGGGUGUUGCACAAUAAUGAUUACUGGGUCAAUAACAACUUCUAUGAAUAAUUCUCAGCCCUUGGAGUUCCCUUCAAGCAGUUUGAUUGUUGGUGUUGAAUGAAAAGCAGCCACACUGCCCUUAUUUCACAUAGAAGAAAAGAGAGGCUGGAGCAGGUGCUAAAUUAUGGGGGUCACAGAGCCCAGGAGUGGGGAACUGGGUGAGGCAGUCUAGACCCUUCGAUCCAGAGCCUAUGUACUUUCUCCCACGCCUCUACUACCUGGGAGAGACUUGGGACUUCUAUGAGUUUGGCAUCAAUUAUGACUAUAACCCUCACUCCUGGAGUUCCUGUUGUGGCUCAGUGGGUUAAGAACUCAGCAUAGUGUCCAUGAGGAUACAAGUUUGAUCCCUGGCCUUGCUCAGUGGGUAAGAAGUGAGGCGUUGCUCACCAGUGUUGCCACCAGGGGAGGCGUAGUUUGCAGACACAGCUCAGAUCUGGCAUAGAUGUGGCUGUGGCGUAGGCCAGCACUUGCAGCUCAGAUUCAACCCCUAAUCUGGGAACUUCUAUAUGCUGCAGGUGCAGC